GCCCGAUUAGCGCAGUGGUAGCGCGUGACACUUCUACCUUCAUGAAGUCGAUGUCGAGGCCGCGGGUUCGAUCCCCGCAUUGGGUU